UACGAAGGGGGCUAGCGUUGUUCGGAAUUACUGGGCGUAAAGCGCGUGUAGGCGGUUAUCCAAGUCAGGUGUGAAAGCCUUGAGCUCAACUCAAGAAAUGCACUUGGUACUGGGUGACUAGAGGACCGGAGAGGAUAGUGGAAUUCCCAGUGUAGUGGUGAAAUACGUAGAGAUUGGGAAGAACACCAGUGGCGAAGGCGGCUAUCUGGACGGUUCUGACGCUAAGACGCGAAAGCGUGGGAGCAACAGG
rnacentral:rRNA from 1 species